rnacentral:rRNA from 1 species
UACGGAGGGUGCAAGCGUUAAUCGGAAUUACUGGGCGUAAAGCGUGCGUAGGCGGUUCGUUAAGUCUGUUGUGAAAUCCCCCGGGCUCAACCUGGGAAUGGCAAUGGAUACUGGCAAGCUAGAGUGUGAUAGAGGAUGGUGGAAUUCCCGGUGUAGCGGUGAAAUGCGUAGAGAUCGGGAGGAACAUCAGUGGCGAAGGCGGCCAUCUGGAUCAACACUGACGCUGAGGCACGAAAGCGUGGGAGCAAACAGG